rnacentral:rRNA from 1 species
CCUACGGGAGGCAGCAGUGAGGAAUAUUGGUCAAUGGACGAGAGUCUGAACCAGCCAAGUAGCGUGAAGGAUGACUGCCCUAUGGGUUGUAAACUUCUUUUAUAAAGGAAUAAAACGAGGCACGUGUGCCUUUUUGCAUGUACUUUAUGAAUAAGGAUCGGCUAACUCCGUGCCAGCAGCCGCGGUAAUACGGAGGAUCCGAGCGUUAUCCGGAUUUAUUGGGUUUAAAGGGAGCGUAGAUGGGUUGUUAAGUCAGUUGUGAAAGUUUGCGGCUCAACCGUAAAAUUGCAAUUGAUACUGGCAGUCUUGAGUACAGUUGAGGUAGGCGGAAUGCGUGGUGUAGCGGUGAAAUGCUUAGAUAUCACGAAGAACACCAGUGGCGAAGGCGGCCGCCUGGCCUGUUACUGACGCUGAGGCACGAAAGCGUGGGGAGCAAAUAGGAUUAGAUACCCUUGUAGUC